rnacentral:rRNA from 1 species
UACGUAGGGGGCUAGCGUUGUCCGGAAUCAUUGGGCGUAAAGCGCGUGUAGGCGGUCCGGUAAGUCCGCUGUGAAAGUCGGGGGCUCAACCCUCGGAUGCCGGUGGAUACUGUCGGGCUCGAGUCCGGAAGAGGCGAGUGGAAUUCCUGGUGUAGCGGUGAAAUGCGCAGAUAUCAGGAGGAACACCAAUUGCGAAGGCAGCUCGCUGGGACGUUACUGACGCUGAGACGCGAAAGCGUGGGGAGCAAACAGG